rnacentral:tRNA from 1 species
UCCAGGGUAGCCUAGUGGACAUGAUAUCUGCCCUGGUAAGCGGAACACUAUGGAUUCGAUUCCCAUCCUUGGAC